CAGUCGCCACGGUAAAACGAAGGGGGCUAGCGUUGCUCGGAAUGACUGGGCGUAAAGCGUGCGUAGGUGGUGGUUUAAGUCCGUUGUGAAAGCCCUGGGCUCAACCUGGGAAUUGCAGUGGAUACUGGGUCACUAGAGUGUGGUAGAGGAUAGUGGAAUUUCCGGUGUAGCAGUGAAAUGCGUAGAGAUCGGAAGGAACAUCUGUGGCGAAGGCGACUAUCUGGGCCAACACUGACACUGAGGCACGAAAGCGUGGGGAGCAAACAGGAUUAGAUACCCCUGUAGUCCCUGUCUCUUAUAC
rnacentral:rRNA from 1 species